GAUAAACAUUCCGGGGGAUUUGGAUGAAGUCUGGCUCUACAGAUAGCAAAGGUCACCGGCUUAUUAAUAAUAUCUACUCCUAACUUUCUGGGUAGAAAACAGAGGAGACACCCCUGUAUUUACAACAUUCCUGUUUUCUCCAGUGUUAUCUGUGAAGACGGAAUGGCGUGUCCCCUCUACACAAUAGGUAUCAUGUAGCCCAGGAUGGCCUCAGACUUUCUAUAGAGUCAAGGAUAACCCUGAACUCCUGAUGUGGACCAUCUCCCUGUGAUGUGGGGCUGUGGAUUGAAUCCAGCUUCCUGCAUGCAAGGCAAGCACUCUGCUGAGUCCCAUCCCAGCUCUCUCUUUGCCUCACCAAAACCAGACUGCAUGUUGGUGAAGCCAACACACGGCUAGAACGUUCCAUCAAAACCCUGCUUUUUUACCCAGAACAGCAAGAGAAGGGUACCCUCAGAGACAGGACUCUUAUCGGUAACUUCUGUGUGCCCGCUAAAUACUACAGAAAACUCCAACAACUUCACGUCCGUGUGUGUUUAUGCUGGAGAAGGUCUGGUGGCUGUAGACUUUCACCCCGGUCAGGCCGUAAGGAAGUGUCAAGCGUCCUCUCCACGCUCAGCCCAGAGAAGACAGAGGAUGAAGCUGAGACCUUCUUCCCUCAGUACAGUAUGGACCACCAUCCUCCAGAGGGCAGUGAGCCCCUCCUCUUCUCCUCCCGCCUAAAGGAGACUCGGGCCUUUCAUCCCCACUCAAAGGAGGAGGCCUAAAGGAGACUCGGGCCUUUCAUCCCCACUCAAAGGUAGCACUCUUUUCCCAUUCCUCAGUGACACUGGCAGCCAUAGGGGAACAGCCAUGUGACACAUUUCUCCUUCCAAGGCUGGAUGGUCUUAGCAGGAACCUAAUAGCAUCCUGAGCUCUCAAUAACAUGAGGGAGGGCUGCAUGGAGACUCUGGAUUUACAGCCCUGCGAAGGGAUGAGCCAGUAUGUUGCUUCUUGGGAACAGCAGGAGGUGACUGCCAAAGUGAAAGUCAUAAGACCUCAGCUCAGGCGCUCAUAAUGCAAAAAAUGCACUAAGGUCAAGGAAAUCUCAAGCCAACAGAGGAAAGAUAAUCUACAGAUACCAACCUCAAGAUGACACUGAGGUUAGAAUUAUCUGACAAAGACUUCAACGAUGCCUUUAUAAAAAAAAAAACACUUCAAGAAGAAUCACACACUCAUGGGCCUGAGGCAGGAAGGUGGCUGCCUUGAUCGCUUUUCAUGGCUGUGAUGAAGCAGGGCUCAAGCAAGAAGAUCACAAAUUCAAGAUUGAUCUAUCUCAAAAACGAAAGAGAGAAAGUCAAGGCGGUUGUGAUGGUGGCUCACACCUUUGGUCCCAGAACUUGGGAGGCAGAGGCAGAGGGAUUGCUGAGUUCAAGGCCAGCCUGGUCUACAGAGUGAGUUCCAGGACAGCCAGAGCUACACAGAGAAACCCUGUCUC